rnacentral:lncRNA from 1 species
GGAUACGAAAAGAUAAAUGUAUGCCAUAAUGAUUAUAUACUUUUCUAUAAGGAGGAUCAACUAAAGAGCUCAUGUGAUAUAUACGGUGAAAGCCAAUUUAAGCUGAGGCAAAAGGAUAGAAAUCAAAAAGACAUACUAUAUAAGGUUCUUCGAUACCUUCCCCUCACUUUUAGGCUUCAGAGGCUCUACUUAUCCAAGAGUACUGCCGGACA